rnacentral:rRNA from 1 species
UGAAAUAACCCAUAUAAGCACAAAAAAGCAGAGACUAUCUCUCGUACCUUUUGCAUCAUGAUUCAGCAAGUUAACUCAAGCAAAGAGCACUCUAGUUUGCACCCCCGAAACUUGACGAGCUACUCCGAGACAGCCAACUAUGGGCCAACCCGUCUCUGUGGCAAAAGAGUGGGAAGAUCUCCGAGUAGAGGCAAAAAACCUACCGAGCCAAGUUAUAGCUGGUUGCCCAAUAAAUGAAUACAAGUUCAGCCCUGCCUAGCCCAACUCACACCAGUUUUACAAAAAAAGACAAAGAGCUUACCCGCAGGAGUUAAUCAGAGGAGGUACAGCUCCCCUGAUACAGGACACAACCUUUUUAGGAGACAAAAGAAUAUUGCCAAACAAGGCCUUAGGUCUCAGUGGGCCUGAAAGCAGCCAUCUGAUCUGAAAGCGUUAAAGCUCCGACCGAAAAAAAGCCUUUUAUUUAAUCUCAAUCUCUGCUCCCCUAAACCUUAUUGGGCCUCUCCAUGCACCCAUGGAAGAGAUUAUGCUGGAACGAGUAACAAGAAGAAUGAACUUCUCCACGCACAAGUGUCUGUCAAAUUGGACCAACCAUCGACAAUUAACGAACCCAACAAAAGAGGGCCCUGCACACCCGCCACCUCUGACCAAGAAAAUCAUGUUUCCCGGAAUCGUUACCCCAACACAGGAGUGCCAGAACAAGGAAAGACUAAAAGAAAAAAAAGGAACUCGGCAAACCCAGACCUCGCCUGUUUACCAAAAACAUCGCCUCUUGCAUCCCAAAGUAUAAGAGGUCCCACCUGCCCUGUGACUCUAAGUUUAACGGCCGCGGUAUUCUAACCGUGCGAAGGUAGCGCAAUCAAUUGCCUUUUAAAUGAAGGCCUGUAUGAAUGGUAUAACGAGGGUCUGACUGUCUCUUUUUUCUAGUCAGUUAAACUGAUCUGUCCGUGCAGAAGCGGACAUUAUUAUACAAGACGAGAAGACCCUAUGGAGCUUUAGACACUAGCCAACUGUGAAUGAGCGACUGAACUAUACAGGUCUUAAAUACCCACAGCCUCUGGUAAUGUAGUCUUAGGUUGGGGCGACCACGGGAGAAAAUAAAGCUCCCAAGCAGACCGGGAAAACCCUUAAGCCCAGAGUUGCAACUCUAAGCCGCAAAAAUUUUGACUGAAAUGAUCCGGUUGAAAAACCGAUUAACGAACCAAGUUACCCUAGGGAUAACAGCGCAAUCCUCUCCCAGAGUCCCUAUCGACGAGGGGGUUUACGACCUCGAUGUUGGAUCAGGACAUCCUAAUGGUGCAGCCGCUAUUAA